GGGCACGACACCGGAGAGGGAGCCUGAGAAACGGCUACCACAUCCAAGGAUGGCAGCAGGCGCGCAAAUUACCCAAUCCCGACNCGGGGAGGUAGUGACAAUAAAUAACAAUACGGGGUUCUUUAGGGUCUCGUAAUUGGAAUGAGUACAAUUUAAAUCUCUUAACGAGGAACAAUUGGAGGGCAAGUCUGGUGCCAGCAGCCGCGGUAAUUCCAGCUCCAAUAGCGUAUAUUAAAGUUGUUGCAGUUAAAAAGCUCGUAGUUGAAUUUCGGGGUUAGUAGGUUGGUCAUGCCUCUGGUAUGUACUGGUCUCACUGAUUCCUCCUUCCUGAUGAACCGUAAUGCCAUUAAUUUGGUGUUGCGGGGAAUUUGGACUGUUACUUUGAAAAAAUUAGAGUGUUUAAAGCAAGCUAACGCUUGAAUACAUUAGCAUGGAAUAAUGAAAUAGGACGUUCGAUCCUAUUUUGUUGGUUUCUAGGAUUGACGUAGUGAUUAAUAGGGAUAGUUGGGGGCAUUAGUAUUCAAUUGUCAGAGGUGAAAUUCUUGGAUUUAUUGAAGACUAACUACUGCGAAAGCAUUUGCCAAGGAUGUUUUCAUUAAUCAAGAACGAAAGUUAGGGGAUCGAAGACGAUCAGAUACCGUCGUAGUCUUAACCAUAAACUAUGCCGACUAGGGAUCGGAUGAUGUUAAUUUUUUAAUGACUCAUUCGGCGCCUUACGGGAAA
rnacentral:rRNA from 1 species